rnacentral:tRNA from 146 species
GCGGGUGUGGCCGAAUGGCUCAGGCACCAGAUUUCCACUCUGGCUACGCAGGUUCGAUUCCUGUCAUCCGCUC